rnacentral:rRNA from 1 species
CAAUCUGCCCUUCACUCUGGGACAAGCCCUGGAAACGGGGUCUAAUACCGGAUAAUACUUUCUCUCUCCUGGGGGAAGGUUGAAAGCUCCGGCGGUGAAGGAUGAGCCCGCGGCCCUAUCAUCUAGUUGGUGGGGUAAUGGCCUACCAAGAGCGCACGCACGGGCUAGCCGGCCUGAGAGGGCGACCGGCCACACUGGGACUGAGACACGGCCCAGACUCCUACGGGAGGCAGCAGUGGGGAAUAUUGCACAAUGGGCGAAAGCCUGAUGCACCGACGCCGCGUGAGGGAUGACGGCCUUCGGGUUGUAAACCUCUCUUCAUCAGGGAAGAAGCGAAAGUGACGGUACCUGCACAAGAAGCGCCGGCUAACUACGUGCCAGCAGCCGCGGUAAUACGUAGGGCGCACGCGUUGUCCGGAAUUAUUGGGCGUAAAGAGCUCGUAUGCGGCUUGUUGCGUCGGUUGUGAAAGCCCGGGGCUUAACCCCGGGUCUGCAGUCGAUACGGGCAGGCUAGAGUGUGGUAGGGGAGAUCGGAAUUCCUGGUGUAGCGGUGAAAUGCGCAGAUAUCAGGAGGAACACCGGUGGCGAAGGCGGAUCUCUGGGCCAUUACUGACGCUGAGGAGCGAAAGCGUGGGGAGCGAACAGGAUUAGAUACCCUGGUAGUCCACGCCGUAAACGUUGGGAACUAGGUGUUGGCGACAUUCCACGUCGUCGGUGCCGCAGCUAACGCAUUAAGUUCCCCGCCUGGGGAGUACGGCCGCAAGGCUAAAACUCAGACGAAUUGACGGGGGCCCGCACAAUCAGCGGAGCAUGUGGCUUAAUUCGACGCAACGCGAAGAACCUUACCAAG